AAAUAGAAGAGGCUCCCACCAGAUGUCACGUCUCUUCCUUGUCCUUCCUCUGCCCGACUGCAUCCGAACGGGUACAGAUUCCUCUCCCUCUUUGGAACAGAACUUAUUUGAAGACUGUAAACUCUUGAUCCACCUGUCCACCUGAUCACCUGAGGCCCAGCACAGAGCCAAGCACAGAGCCUAGAACAAAGGAGUCCUCAACAAAUACUUGCUGACUGAAUGUCUGAACGUAUUACUCACUGUCAGAAGGCAAAGCACCUCCUUACAAGGUAAUGUCGAAGCUACUAAAAAUUAAAAACUGGAAGUAAAUCAAUUACCCAUGAUACGCA